AUACGGCGAUAUUUCACUUCUAUACUAAUGAAAACAUUUGGAUGCAAAUCCCCCCUAUUGCUUUGUACGUAGUGGAUCCUCCUGUCAACCCCUCCUGAAAUCCCCGCUUGGUACCGUCCGCACUCCGUUUGCCAUUUUCAAGCGGAUUCAAGUGCAUUGGACCCUCCUACAUGGUAUUCUGUCCAAUCAGGUCACCGUGCCUUGUGACAACACGCUGCUGAAGACACAGAAGCUGCCUUGAUGAGAUUCAUCGUUUGCCUGAGGGGAUGACAAUAGCAAAUGUAUACCUGCUGAAAAGGAGCUGGUGCUGUCCUCGGGUCCUUCGGGAGGAAAGAUGACCCGGGCCGACCGUGACGAAACCUGCCAACUGAAGCGAUCAAACAUGAUACGUGGGAAAGGGGCCUUGGGCGGUGGAGAGCAUUCGCCUGAGCUGGCAUUGCUGGAGGCAAGCAAUUCGGUGCCACACAAGGGAAUGGUUUGAAAGGAACGGGUGCCAAGGCCUGACUCCCCCAACAACACCGCGAGGCACGCACUGCCACGUCAGAGGGGCUGAGGGAGCAGAGAGCUGACUGUGCAACCCACCACCAGGCCGACUGCUUUUCAACCGCUCCUCAGGUUCCACCCGUACGAGAGAAGAUUCAUUAGGGUACGACCUUUCAGAGUGAGCCGAGAGCAACUGCAGUCCGUGGCCUUUCCUCCCUCGUCCCCCCUGCCCCUCCAAAAAAAAAAAAGGAGAAACGAAUACCGGAUUAUUUGUAAUACAUUAGCCGACAUCCCAACAUUAUGUUACAGUCCAUUAGUGGUUAACAAUGAUAGCUGAUUUUCAAAUGGCAUUUCACAGGCCAUUACUGUAACUCAUUCCAGCCUUGCUUUCCUCCCCAAUGGCAGCAGUUUCCGGCUGUAAUACAUAAUCAAUAAUGCAAAAAAAAAAAAAAAAACCCUUAAAGUCCUUCCUUGUGGUUUUGUUUCAUGUGCUUUUAAAUAUAAUGACGCAGGUUAAUUAGCUUGUCAUCAUAUGGGAUUUUAGGGGGAUUCUAAAGAUGUUACAAUAGGUUUUGUCACACAAGGAGGACACAGUUUCUGUACACCUGACUCAACUGCAGUUUCAUUUCUAAACAGCGAGGUGGCUUUCAAAGAAGGAACCUCGCUGUCAAGGAAACAGACGACAAAAUAACUUCUUGCCUCCAGUAAUGCGGUUGAGUGUUUAGUACUUUCCCCAGCCCUUAUGUUUGACCCAAUGUAGCCUUUAACCUCUGAAGUGCUUUCGAUUUGCUCCGGAGAGACUGAACCCCUUUAAGGUCUGACAAACGUGUUCAUCGGUGUAAAACUGCAAUGCUAUGUUUCCAAACUGUCACUGUACUGAGCAAUGCAGCACACAUUGCUUUAGACUAAUACAAAUGCACUGAACUAUUUUGCUGGUUAAUACUGGUUAUACUACUGCUGGCAUAAAUAAUGAAAACAGAGAACUGAGAUGAACAUGUCAGCUGAUUAUAGCAAUGAAUUAUGCUGAAUUAUGAAUUAGUCAUAUAAACACAAUCUAUAGCUCUACUUUACUGUGACUCUGCUUAAAUGGUGGGAAGAGGACCAAUGAAAUUACGAUCAAAUUAAAACAUUUGACUGAUAAAAA